UUUGAGGCUACAGAAGUAACACAUGACAUCUUUCUCCCUCGAAUUAAAAUGUGACUUGGUUCACCGGUUGAAACGCAGAGGGAGAUGGCAAUGACCGGGAGUCGAAAGGAGAAGGAAGCUGAUUCCUGCCAACUGCAUUUCCUGGGCUCAUUUAACCAUGCCCUGAAGGAAUUAGGACAAUGAAAGAGUCGUGCUCUCCUGCAGCCUUUGGGGAUGGCUGGCUUCCAUACCCAGAAUCAAUCACACUGCAACACUGAAAAAACAAAAAUAAACAGGAAAGUUGGAGUGCAAUGGCACGAUCUCAGCUCACUGCAACCUCCACCUCCCGGGUUCAAGU